UCACUAUGGGAUGGACCUGCGGUGCAUUAGCUAGUUGGUAAGGUAACGGCUUACCAAGGCGAUGAUGCAUAGCCGAGUUGAGAGACUGAUCGGCCACAAUGGAACUGAGACACGGUCCAUACUCCUACGGGAGGCAGCAGUAGGGAAUCUUCCACAAUGGGCGCAAGCCUGAUGGAGCAACACCGCGUGAGUGAAGAAGGGUUUCGGCUCGUAAAGCUCUGUUGUUGGAGAAGAACGUGCUGUGAGAGUAACUGUUCACGCAGUGACGGUAUCUAACCAGAAAGUCACGGCUAACUACGUGCCAGCAGCCGCGGUAAUACGUAGGUGGCAAGCGUUAUCCGGAUUUAUUGGGCGUAAAGCGAGCGCAGGCGGUUAGAUAAGUCUGAU
rnacentral:rRNA from 1 species